rnacentral:rRNA from 1 species
UACGAAGGGGGCUAGCGUUGCUCGGAAUCACUGGGCGUAAAGCGCACGUAGGCGGAUUGCUAAGUCGGGGGUGAAAUCCUGGAGCUCAACUCCAGAACUGCCUUCGAUACUGGAAAGCUCGAGUCCGGGAGAGGUGAGUGGAACUGCGAGUGUAGAGGUGAAAUUCGUAGAUAUUCGCAAGAACACCAGUGGCGAAGGCGGCUCACUGGCCCGGUACUGACGCUGAGGUGCGAAAGCGUGGGGAGCAAACAGG